GCUCCAGUGGCCUAGUGGUUAGAGCGUCAGCCUCGGAUGCGGGAGGUCGUGGGUUCGAUCUCCGAUUGAGUCA